rnacentral:misc_RNA from 1 species
GACGUAUUCCACUACUUGAGCUUAGAAUGCGUCAAUGUCCGUUGAUAAGUGAUACUUCAAUUAUGGUGUUAGCAUCAAUGAAGGUUGAUGAAGAAGGAUGGUAUGGGAGCAGUUUACGGCUGUUGGAUCUUUAUAAUUGUGGAGGUAUAACUCAGCUUUCAUUCCAAUGGUUAAAGAAACCUUAUUUCCCGAGAUUGAGAUGGUUAGGAGUAUCUAGUAGUGUCAGCAGGGAUGUGCUGGACACUUUAUCCAGGAAUAGACCGUUUCUGCAUAUAGCUUUUCAUGGGGAGGAGCUGGGAAUGACUGGCCAAUGGGAUAAUUCAGAUGAUCUCUAUAUGCAUGACUAUGAUGAAGUUGAUGAGUUGGAACAAUGGCUUGAAGGAGAAAAUGAGGGAGAUGAUGAAGACAUUCAAGAAGCAGAAAACAACGCAGAGUGAAUGACUGUAAGAUGGCAACUUAUUUAUAUAAAUGUGUUGUAAAUCUAACUGUGUUCUAGUUUUGUAUAAAUUGUUAUGAUUUUCAUCCCUACUUAGCUUUACUGUUGUAAUAUUGUAUGGCAAAUCGUGAUUCCUGAGUGUUUUAUAGGUUGCCAUAAUUUGCCUGUUAUGUAUAUGGCUUGGGCUACCCUUGUAACAAUCAGUUUUACAAGCUGA